rnacentral:rRNA from 1 species
AUUGAACGCUGGCGGCAGGCCUAACACAUGCAAGUCGAGCGAGCGGCGGACGGGUGAGUAAUGUAUGGGGACCUGCCUGAUAGAGGGGGAUAACUACUGUAAACGGUGGCUAAUACCGCAUACUAUCCGAUGAACCCACAUGGGAUUAGCUAGUAGGUGGGGUAAAGGCUCACCUAGGCGACGAUCGCUAGCUGGUAUGAGGGGAUGAUAAGCCACAAUGGGACUGAGAAACGGCCCAGAAUCCUGAGGGAGGCAGCAGGGGGGAAUAUUGCACAAUGGGCGGAAGCCGGAUGCAGCCAUGCCGCGUGUAUGAAGAAGGCCUUAGGGUUGUAAAGUACUUUCAGCGGGGAGGCGUUACCCGCAGAAGAAGCACCGGCUAACUCCGUGCCAGCAGCCGCGGUAAUUC